GUUCGAGCGUCAUUUCAACCCUCAAGCGUAACUGCUUGGUCUUGGGCCUUGCCGGAGACGGCCGGCCUUAAAACUAGUGGCGGUGCGCCGGGCUCUAUGCGUAGUAUUAUUCUCGCGUUUGGGUCUCGGUGGACGCUGGCCAGCAACCUCAAAUUUUUAUGGUUGACCUCGGAUCAGAUAAGGAUACCCGCUGAACUUAA
rnacentral:misc_RNA from 1 species